AGCUGUGGAUUGUCCUUUGGACAAUGGUAGGAGAGCGUUCUAAGGGCGUUGAAGCAUGAUCGUAAGGACAUGUGGAGCGCUUAGAAGUGAGAAUGCCGGUGUGAGUAGCGAAAGACGGGUGAGAAUCCCGUCCACCGAUUGACUAAGGUUUCCAGAGGAAGGCUCGUCCGCUCUGGGUUAGUCGGGUCCUAAGCUGAGGCCGACAGGCGUAGGCGAUGGAUAACAGGUUGAUAUUCCUGUACCACCUAUAAUCGUUUUAAUCGAUGGGGGGACGCAGUAGGAUAGGCGAAGCGUGCGAUUGGAUUGCACGUCUAAGCAGUAAGGCUGAGUAUUAGGCAAAUCCGGUACUCAUUAAGGCUGAGCUGUGAUGGGGAGAAGACAUUGUGUCUUCGAGUCGUUGAUUUCACACUGCCGAGAAAAGCCUCUAGAUAGAAAAUAGGUGCCCGUACCGCAAACCGACACAGGUAGUCAAGAUGAGAAUUCUAAGGUGAGCGAGCGAACUCUCGUUAAGGAACUCGGCAAAAUGACCCCGUAACUUCGGGAGAAGGGGUGCUCUUUAGGGUUAACGCCCAGAAGAGCCGCAGUGAAUAGGCCCAAGCGACUGUUUAUCAAAAACACAGGUCUCUGCUAAACCGUAAGGUGAUGUAUAGGGGCUGACGCCUGCCCGGUGCUGGAAGGUUAAGAGGAGUGGUUAGCUUCUGCGAAGCUACGAAUCGAAGCCCCAGUAAACGGCGGCCGUAACUAUAACGGUCCUAAGGUAGCGAAAUUCCUUGUCGGGUAAGUUCCGACCCGCACGAAAGGCGUAACGAUUUGGGCACUGUCUCAACGAGAGACUCGGUGAAAUCAUAGUACCUGUGAAGAUGCAGGUUACCCGCGACAGGACGGAAAGACC
rnacentral:rRNA from 1 species